AGGCUUUUGCGACUUUUCCUCCGGUUUUUUGCCUCAUUGGCACUCUUACCGAACGUGAACAGCGUCCAGAGAAGCUACGAAGUUACCAUCAUCGAACACUGGAUUGUCCAUUGAAUAUGGGAACUUUUGGCGCUUGCAGAAUUCGUUGUAGUCGUGGCUGGUGGCGUUGCACUCGCGAUUCUUAGAGUGUUGUUUGGACUUCUGUUCAUAUCGGAAGAAGCCGCUAUUGCGGCCGGAGAUGCAGGUGUAGACGGCGGUGGAAGCAUCGUUUUGCCAGGCGAAGCUGUAAAUAGUUUACUUAGUGUGACCACCAUGAAAUUACCGAGAAGAGUGAAUAUAACUUUGGUCUCAAUAAAAAAAAAUGCAUGCCGUCACGACGUUGAAGACUUUGAAACAUGUAAAAAGUCGUACGAGAAAAUGAACGAACCAAUGGUAGCGCUAGACAUAACUGCGCUGUGACUGCGUCCCAAUGGAUUGGCAACGUGUUCCCCGAGACGUGGGGGACUUUGGCCCUGCGCCUGGCCAUGCCACGACGAGGAUACGGCAGGGGAAGGACUUAUGGCUCGUGGCGGAAGUUCAGGGGGCGAGCUAUAUACGCGGCUGGCAAAUGGCUGUUUCCAUUCGAAUUGGACGAUACACUGGACGACGGUUGUGCCAAUACCAUGUCGCUGCUUCCACUACGCCUGUGACGAAGCCCGUGGUCGGCGCUUCCAGUUGUCUGCAAAAGGGACCUUUGAGAUGUAAUCAUAGAUGGCACGACCAUAAGGUUGAUUGUGAAGAAGAACUUGUUUGGCAGAGGCAUUAGCAUGCCUUGCUGGAUCAGUAGCAAGAACAACGG